GGUGUCCGGUGAAAGUGCAAAACCAGUCGAAAGGGAGUGAGUAAAUUUUAGGGAGUUGAUGGGAAAUUUGUUAGGUAAAUAGAUUAUUGAUUACCGAUUGGAGUGACAGCCGGUAGUGAAAGUUGGCUGAUAGUUUACUGGCCUCACUCUUGGAGGAAAUUUUAACCGAGGUCAUCAGAGUCUGUCUUCGCUUAGCAAAUAUUGUAUCAGAGUGUGUGGGUGAAAAUCGGCUGAAUGGAUUUCACAGGCAAUAAAAGAAGUGGAAAAAGAUAAGGUGCUACUACAGCUUAAGAGGAUUAAUCUGUUGGGUGUAAGCGGGAAAGUUUUACAGAUAAUCCUCAGCCCCAGGUUGGCAGCGUGCAAGCAGAAGUAAAAGCCCCCGCAGCGGUACGAAUAGGCGUAGGUGUCAGCCAGCCAGCUGAUCGCUCGAUGAAAGCAACCUUCGACGACAACGGCGAAGCGAAUCAGAGAAUAAAAGGAAAAACCAAUAAUCCCUAAUCCAGCAUCUAUCAAUUUUGUUCAAAUAAUACGAUUCGUAUUUCCUCCGUUCUGACAAUCGGAUUAAGAUUUUUCUUCCCGGCUGACUGCUGACUAACCACGGUACGGACACAUAACGCAAGAGAAGAAGAUGGGAACGGUAGUGUGCCUUCCGGCUGGACCGGAACUGGUAUCUCAGUGCAACCGUUGUGCUACCUGUUUGCCGAAGCCGUUCUUCGGAAAGCGAGGUGUCUCUGCGCUAAGUUCAGCGGUACCAUCUAGCGACAGUGUGUACAAGCUGGCUGAAAUUCGUCAGAGCAGUGAUGGAACAGUGACUCACAGGAUAGUGGAAG